rnacentral:rRNA from 1 species
UGGGGAAUAUUGCACAAUGGGCGAAAGCCUGAUGCAGCGACGCCGCGUGAGGGAUGACGGCCUUCGGGUUGUAAACCUCUUUCAGCAGGGACGAAGCGCAAGUGACGGUACCUGCAGAAGAAGCACCGGCUAACUACGUGCCAGCAGCCGCGGUAAUACGUAGGGUGCAAGCGUUGUCCGGAAUUACUGGGCGUUAAGAGUUCGUAGGCGGUUUGUCGCGUCGUUUGUGAAAACCAGCAGCUCAACUGCUGGCUUGCAGGCGAUACGGGCAGACUUGAGUACUGCAGGGGAGACUGGAAUUCCUGGUGUAGCGGUGAAAUGCGCAGAUAUCAGGAGGAACACCGGUGGCGAAGGCGGGUCUCUGGGCAGUAACUGACGCUGAGGAACGAAAGCGUGGGUAGCGAACAGG